rnacentral:rRNA from 1 species
UACGGAGGGUGCGAGCGUUGUCCGGAAUCACUGGGCGUAAAGGGCGCGUAGGCGGCGCGGGUAGUCAUCGGUGAAAGUUCAGGGCUCAACUCUGAAUCGGCCGGUGAUACUCCCGUGCUCGAGCACUGUAGAGGCAGGUGGAAUUCCGGGUGUAGCGGUGGAAUGCGUAGAGAUCCGGAAGAACACCGGUGGCGAAGGCGGCCUGCUGGGCAGUAGCUGACGCUGAGGCGCGACAGUGUGGGGAGCAAACAGG